rnacentral:lncRNA from 1 species
GCCCAGCACUUAAGAGGGGAGCGGAAAAUGACAUCACUAGUCUGGGCAGUAUCUUCUCAGCCUAAACCAUUAUUCCCUCCCUCCCUUUUAACAAAGACUCCUAGUUUCCCACCCAAUAUCCAGUCUCCAUUUUCUUCCUAACUGAAUGUUGACUUCUUCCCCCUGGGAAACAAGAUAUCAAGGAAAAUGAUGCACCUUGUUUGCCUCCCUUGCAAGUGGGCCUGGCCCAUCCAUCAGAGGCAAAUUCGAUGACAGAAUCACAUCCUAGAGGUAUUAAAGCAGACGUUUAGGAGGACACUGGUACCUGAUGACUGCUGUAUCUGCCUAUGACUGGACCUCAGUGUAAGAAGCCACUUGUUUGAAUUUUCUGUGCAUGCAAGGAACUCCAUUCUAAGUGCUGUAUCUCUCGCCCAUGCUGCCUGUAUUAGGUAGGGAAAGUAAAUUUAUCUGCUGUAACAAACAACUUCCAAAUAUUAGUAGCUUAACCCAACAAAAGUUUGUUAUUCACGUUGAGACAAAUGCAUACAUAACUGGUUGGCCGGCAGCCUCUCUGGGACCCAGGGACACGUGGUCCUUCUGUCUGUGUCUCUACUGAACCAUAUGCCCUUCACAUCUUCUGUGUGGCAGCAGCUGGGGAAAGUGAGCAGGACUAGUACAUGAGUGGUUUUAUGGGC